rnacentral:rRNA from 1 species
GAAUAUUGGACAAUGGGCGCAAGCCUGAUCCAGCCAUGCCGCGUGUGUGAAGAAGGCCUUCGGGUUGUAAAGCACUUUAAGUUGGGAGGACGGCUUUAAGGUUAAUAACCUUGGGGAUUGACGUUACCAACAGAAUAAGCACCGGCUAACUCCGUGCCAGCAGCCGCGGUAAUACGGAGGGUGCAAGCGUUAAUCGGAAUUACUGGGCGUAAAGCGCGCGUAGGCGGCCAUUUAAGCUAGAUGUGAAAGCCCAGGGCUUAACCUUGGAACUGCAUUUAGAACUGGAUGGCUAGAGUAUGGAAGAGGAGUGUGGAAUUUCAGGUGUAGCGGUGAAAUGCGUAGAGAUCUGAAGGAACAUCAGUGGCGAAGGCGACACUCUGGUCCAAUACUGACGCUGAGGUGCGAAAGCGUGGGGAUCAAACAGG